rnacentral:lncRNA from 1 species
GCGUUUACUUACUAUAAUUACGAUUUUACCCUUGACCUAAUUCAUUAUUUGAAAAAAACAUAACUAAUAGACGCAACUGCUCUAUCUUUCUUCGAUAAACGCAUCUCGAACUCCAUUGACACAUCUCAAGCUCUGACGAACUCCAUGAUGCAUCUUCGAGCUCCAAUAUUUCUGAGCUCUCUCUCUCGAUCUACCCAUCUCUGAGCUCUCUCUCUUUGGGGUAACUUUCUCUGUUUGGUUUAACUCUCUCUCUCUUUGAUAGUUGGUCUCUGUUCUAAACAUUGAACGUAUCAGAUUCACACUCUCUUGACGAACC